CAUGACCUCAAAUCAGGUAGGACUACCCGCUGAACUUAAGCAUAUCAAUA
rnacentral:rRNA from 1 species